GGCGAGUGGCGAACGGGUGAGUAAUAUAUCGGAACGUACCCAAGAGUGGGGGAUAACGUAGCGAAAGUUACGCUAAUACCGCAUACGAUCUAAGGAUGAAAGUGGGGGAUCGCAAGACCUCAUGCUCCUGGAGCGGCCGAUAUCUGAUUAGCUAGUUGGUGAGGUAAAGGCUCACCAAGGCGACGAUCAGUAGCUGGUCUGAGAGGACGACCAGCCACACUGGAACUGAGACACGGUCCAGACUCCUACGGGAGGCAGCAGUGGGGAAUUUUGGACAAUGGGCGCAAGCCUGAUCCAGCAAUGCCGCGUGAGUGAAGAAGGCCUUCGGGUUGUAAAGCUCUUUUGUCAGGGAAGAAACGGUGGAGGUUAAUACCUUCCGCUAAUGACGGUACCUGAAGAAUAAGCACCGGCUAACUACGUGCCAGCAGCCGCGGUAAUACGUAGGGUGCGAGCGUUAAUCGGAAUUACUGGGCGUAAAGCGUGCGCAGGCGGUUAUAUAAGACAGAUGUGAAAUCCCCGGGCUCAACCUGGGACCUGCAUUUGUGA
rnacentral:rRNA from 1 species